ensembl:rRNA 5S_rRNA 5S ribosomal RNA
GCUUAUUGCCAUACCACUCUGCCAAUGCCUGAUCUUGUCUGAUCUCUGACAUAAAGGUGAGUUGGGCCUGGUUAGUACUUGGAUGGGAGACUGCAUGGGAAUAACAGGUGCUGUAAGAU